UACGUAGGGGGCAAGCGUUGUCCGGAUUUAUUGGGCGUAAAGAGCUCGUAGGCGGUUUGGUAAGUCUGGUGUGAAAUCUCCACGCUCAACGUGGAGGGGCCACCCGAUACUGCCAUGACUGGAGUCCGGUAGAGGAGUGUGGAAUUCCCGGUGUGGCGGUGAAAUGCGCAGAUAUCGGGAGGAACACCCGUAGCGAAGGCGGCACUCUGGGCCGGAACUGACGCUGAGGAGCGAAAGCGUGGGGAGCAAACAGG
rnacentral:rRNA from 1 species